rnacentral:rRNA from 1 species
GAUGAACGCUGGCGGUAUGCUUAACACAUGCAAGUCGAACGGACUCUUCGGAGUUAGUGGCGGACGGGUGAGUAACGCGUGAGAAUCUGGCUUUGGGUUCGGGACAACCACUGGAAACGGUGGCUAAUACCGGAUGUGCCGAGAGGUAAAAGAGAAAUUGCCUGAAGAUGAGCUCGCGUCUGAUUAGCUAAUUGGUGAGGUAAAGGCUCACCAAGGCAGCGAUCAGUAGCUGGUCUGAGAGGAUGACCAGCCACACUGGGACUGAGACACGGCCCAGACUCCUACGGGAGGCAGCAGUGGGGAAUUAUCCGCAAUGGGCGAGAGCCUGACGGAGCAAUACCGCGUGAGGGAAGAAGUCUCUUGGGUUGUAAACCUCUUUUCUUAGGGAAGAACAAAAUGACGGUACCUAAGGAAUCAGCAUCGGCUAACUCCGUG